UGGGGAAUUUUGGACAAUGGGGGCAACCCUGAUCCAGCAAUGCCGCGUGUGUGAAGAAGGCCUUCGGGUUGUAAAGCACUUUUGUCCGGAAAGAAAACGUCGUGGUUAAUACCCGUGGCGGCUGACGGUACCGGAAGAAUAAGCACCGGCUAACUACGUGCCAGCAGCCGCGGUAAUACGUAGGGUGCAAGCGUUAAUCGGAAUUACUGGGCGUAAAGCGUGCGCAGGCGGUCCGCUAAGACAGAUGUGAAAUCCCCGGGCUUAACCUGGGAACUGCAUUUGUGACUGGCGGGCUAGAGUAUGGCAGAGGGGGGUAGAAUUCCACGUGUAGCAGUGAAAUGCGUAGAGAUGUCGGAGGAAUACCGAUGGCGAAGGCAGCCCCCUGGGCCAAUACUGACGCUCAUGCACGAAAGCGUGGGGGAGCAAACAGGAUUAGAUACCCUGGUAGUCCACGCCCUAAACGAUGUCAACUAGUUGUCGGGUCUUCAUUGACUUGGUAACGUAGCUAACGCGUGAAGUUGACCGCCUGGGGAGUACGGUCGCAAGAUUAAAAACU
rnacentral:rRNA from 1 species